rnacentral:lncRNA from 1 species
CACAGGCGCUGCAGCCAACAAUUUCGCGCACUGUAGACGUAGUAGCCAAUCAGAAGGCGCAGCUGUAGGGGCCGGGGUGGGAUCAACCCGUGACUCGCGGUGACUCCCUAGCAGGGAGCGGGGAGAGCGUCUCCAUCUGUUGAUCCCCCUAGCCUGCCCAAGCCAGACUUCAAGGCUUCGAAGGAAAAGCUGCAGAAGUUGGAUGAGGAGGGACAGCUCUGUCACCUGGGAAGAGUUUGCCAAAAUGAAGCAGGAGCUAGAAGGCUCAAAGGCCCACCAGGCAUAUCCUCGACAUGACAUUAAGAUCAGAUCCCGGGGACACAAAGAGAGGUAUCCCUGCAGCUCUACAGCCCUUCUUCCUGUGGCAGCAGGAUCUCCAUGGGAAGGUACAAGACCCAGAACUUGGAACCUAAGAAGUCAAGGCUAACCCCUCCUCCACAGGCCCUAGCAAGGACCACAGGUUAAAUUUUCUACAUCUAUUUCCUGACCAGGAAAAUGAAACUACCCUGUCUUGGCUCUCCCCAGUGCUUAAGGAGAUAAGAAACCAGAUGUAACUUCAGAUGGCCCUUUGCCAUACGGGACAAGGUUUAAGCCCCACAUUUCCAGCCCAUUUCACCCCACUGGGAUGCUAGACUUCUUGGUUGCUUGUGCCUGCUGGGUAAAGCCCAAAGUACAGGCUAGAGACAGCCCACAGCAACUGUGACAAACGCUCAGGACCCUGG